UCCCGCGUAAUUUAAGCAUAUUAAUAAGCGGAGGAAAAGAAACUAACUAGGAUUCCCUCAGUAGCUGCGAGCGAACAGGGAGGAGCCCAGCACUGAAUCCUGCGCGCAAAGCACGCGUCUGGAAAUGUAGUGUUUGGGAGGGCCCGUUCAUCUCGUCGGGGUGCGCCAGUCCAAGUCCGUCUUGAAAGCGGCCACAGCCCGUAGAGGGUGCCAGGCCCGUCUGACGGCGCGACGAGCAUUUCCCCGGCGAAAGGGNNNNNNNNNNNNNNNNNNNNNNNNNNNNNNNNNNNNNNNNNNNNNNNNNNGGCCCGUACGGUUCGCACCCCCGGGGCGUCUCGUUGUCAUUGCGACACAGUAGGCGCACCCAGAGCGUACACGUUGGGACCCGAAAGAUGGUGAACUAUGCCUGGUCAGGUCGAAGUCAGGCUGGCACUCGGAGGUGAUGUGCGACGCCCGCGCUUAACUGCCGGGUGCGCACGCUGCCAGUCUCAUCUGGUAAAGCGAAUGAUUAGAGGCCUUGGGGCCGAAACGACCUCAACCUAUUCUCAAACUUUAAAUGGGUGAGAAAGUCGACUUGCUUAAAUGCACACAAUGAAGUCGACGUGUGCCUAACGAACACACGAUGAGAGCGGAUGAGAGAGUGCCAAGUGGGCCAUUUUUGGUAAGCAGAACUGGUGCUGUGGGAUGAACCAAACGUCGAGUUAAGGCGCCUAAUUCGAUGCUCAUGGGAUACCAUGAAAGGCGUUGGUUCGAUGUUGAUGUGCAGUCGUAUAAACCGCUCUCUCGAGAGACUCGACUCGGUUUGACCACAUCGGGCGAAAGGGAAUCCGGUUCCUAUUACGGAACCCGGCUGCGGAACCGACCAUGCGGGCCAAUGCGAAGCCGCGACUCACCGUACGUACCGCCGCACGUGUCGGGUGCCCCCCUCCGCCUCGCGCGGUGCGGGGGAUAACACCGGGCCGUCGGAGACGGCGUGCGCGUCGCGCGCCUAGCAACUCGUCGGGGUAACCCAAAGGGACCCGGAGACGCCGCCGGAUGAUCGAGGCAGAGUUUUCUGUUCUGCAUAAGCAUUCGAGUUCCCUGGAAUCGCCUAGCGCGGAGAUAGGGUUUGGAAUGCGAAGAGCACCGCACUUGCGGCGGUGUCUCGAUCUAUCUCGCGGACCUUGAAAAUCCGGGAGAGGGCCACGUGGAGGUGUCGCGCCGGAUCGUACCCAUAUCCGCAGCAGGUCUCCAAGGUGAGCAGCCUCUAGUCGAUAGAA
rnacentral:rRNA from 1 species